rnacentral:lncRNA from 1 species
AUGUAAUUACUUAAAUUGGAAUGCAUUAUGGCAUUCCAGUUAGCAAAAUAAGUAUCAAAUGUGGGGCGUAAGCUAUGCUUGCUUGAAAAUCAGCAUCAGUUUAAGGUUGCUAUCUAGCAAUAGGCUUUCUGUCAGAAAAGGGAGGAGCAGAAAUGCAGAAUCAAAAUUAUAUAUUUAAAUCAAGUUUCCUUGCUCGAUGAUUGAAAUAAUAACUACACUUGGAUGUGGUAAAUCGUUUUGAAUUAACCUGGCCUGAGUGUGUAUCUUCCUGCAGUGAACCGCAGGAGGAGUGUUUUGACACACAAUGUGUUUCACCAAAUGUUGAUGGAUAUUUUUAAAUAGGAGAACAAAAAGCAGAAUAUUGGUUAUGGCCUUUCCUGUGAAUCUGUAACAGGUAAGUUCUGAAGCUAGAUGGAAACAGGAAAAUAUCAGAAGAACUGUUCUGAUCAAGUGACAGGAUCAUAGCACAGACUGGAUGCUGGUAAUGGUAAACUCUUGCUGCUUAUUUUGAUGCUAUCUUCCCCUGCAGUGUUAAGGAAGAUGCUCCAUCUCUGUCCCAUGGAGAAUGUCUGCUGUCCAGCUGGACUGAUCUAACAUCUUGCUGUUCCUAAAAGGUGUCCCCACACCCAAGCCUUGUGGUUCCUGCCUGCUGCAGCUCUGACGCUCAGCUGACCCUUCAGUGUUGAGUCUGCCCAAGGAGGAGUCAGACAGGCACCAGGCAGCGAGAAGAGGGAUGAGGACCAACCAAAUCUGGGAAAACAAAUUGCAGCCUAUGCCUUUAGUUUCUUCAUCUGCUACAACAGGAAUCAUGCUCGGCUACCUUACAAGAUUGCUAAAAAGGUUUUAUAAUGUGUGCAUUCAAGGCAUCGUAAGUGCUGAGAAAGGGCUUAUAGAAGCAAUCCUGCCUUGCUGUAUGCUGAAUAUGCUGCUAUUUUGCUGUAAAGAAAUAUUCCUUAAGAGAUAUUAUAAAGAUAUUGAAUUACCAUUGAUAAUAGCAAUUCUGCUGUCCCAUGUCAGCUGUGCAGUCACUUAA